rnacentral:rRNA from 1 species
UACGGGGGGAGCAAGCGUUGUUCGGAUUUACUGGGCGUAAAGGGCGCGUAGGCGGCCUCUGCAAGUCGACUGUGAAAUCUCCGGGCUUAACCCGGAAAGGUCAGCCGAUACUGCGGGGCUAGAGUGCAGAAGGGGCAACUGGAAUUCUCGGUGUAGCGGUGAAAUGCGUAGAUAUCGAGAGGAACACCUGCGGCGAAGGCGGGUUGCUGGGCUGACACUGACGCUGAUGCGCGAAAGCGAGGGGAGCGAACGGG